GGGUUGUGAGGUUAAGCGACUAAGCGUACACGGUGGAUGCCCUGGCAGUCAGAGGCGAUGAAGGACGUGCUAAUCUGCGAAAAGCGUCGGUAAGGUGAUAUGAACCGUUACAGCCGGCGAUGUCCGAAUGGGGAAACCCAGUGUGAUUCGUCACACUAUCGUUAACUGAAUACAUAGGUUAACGAGG
rnacentral:rRNA from 1 species